rnacentral:rRNA from 1 species
UACGACUACAUAUCAGGCAUAUCAAUAAGCGGAGGAAAAGAAACUAACAAGGAUUCCCUUAGUAACGGCGAGUGAAGCGGGAAGAGCUCGAAUUUGAAAUCUUCAAGGUUCUACCUUGACGAAUUGUAGUUUAAAGAAGUGUUUUCUGUUAGAGGAGUAGCAAAAGCUCCUUGGAAUGGGACAUCAUAGAGGGUGAGAAUCCCGUAUUUGGUUAUUCUUUCUAGCUUUGUGAUACACUUUCAAAGAGUCGGAUUGUUUGGGAAUGCAGUCCAAAAUGGGUGGUAAAUUUCAUCUAAAGCUAAAUAUUGGCGAGAGACCGAUAGCGAACAAGUACCGUGAGGGAAAGAUGAAAAGAACUUUGAAAAGAGAGUUAAACAGUACGUGAAAUUGUCAAAAGGGAAGCGUUUGACACCAGUGUUGUUUUUCCGAAAAUCAAUUAAGAAGGGCUUGAUUUUGUGUUGUAUUGACCUUAUCAGCUUUCUUCACUCUUUUUCGAGUCUUUCUUAAUGCACUUUUCGGUUAACAAGUCAACAUCAAUUUCUUUUGUUGUAAAAGGGUAUAGGAAGGUGGCUUUACUUUCGGAGUAAAGUGCUUAUAGCCUUUAUACCUCUACAAUCGGAGAGAUUGAGGUCUGCAGCGUAGAUCCUUCGGGGCUAGAUACACUUUGUGCUAAGUUAUAGCUUUUCAUAGACAACUUGUUGACUAUGUUUAGUCAUUGUAGCUUACUCGCUAGAUGCUAUUUUACCUACGCUUAGGAUGUUGAUCUACAGAGCGAGAGU